UAUCCUAGUAACUUAUGAUUCUGCAUUUUAGGUGGCCUCUCAUGGGCACGAUCCAAGUUCAGAGAUGUUUCGUCAAACAACAAAUGGAAUUGGUGCAUUUUUCGUGUUUUAGCUCCAACAUAUUUAACAGAAAAUAUUCUCAUGAAGAUUGCAGGUAGUAUAGCAUUUUGAAUCUUGAUGCCAAAUGCCAAUAUUUCUAUGUAUCCAUAUUCUGGUUCGACGAAAUGGAUACCAAAAUUGGUGGUGGCGUUUGUCAUCAGACAUACAGCUCAUUGAGGCAAUCUGGAUUUUCCAUCUUGGAGUUGAAAGCUUGUCGUGAUGAUAGUUGUUCUUUUACAAGUAGUUCAUUUUGCCUUUGUGUACAGCUAGUGCCUAGUUGUAUAUCAUCUGAAAGAAUCCUCCUUGGUUGUUUUGCAAUAGCUUGACUAUGUUCAGUUUCUUGACCCUGGUGUAUUUUGCCCAUGUUGUUAUGCAAUAUCUUGACUAUCCUUCUUAAUUAUUUGUUAAUUUCUUAUUGUGAGUAAUUGAAAUUCAAUUGCUUGAUUAUAAUUUUUUGAUUUAAGGACAAUAUUGAGAUCGGGAGGAGAUAUA